rnacentral:rRNA from 1 species
GACGAACGCUGGCGGCGUGCUUAACACAUGCAAGUCGAACGGAAAGGCCCUGCUUUUGUGGGGUGCUCGAGUGGCGAACGGGUGAGUAACACGUGAAUAACCUGCCCUUGACUUUGGGAUAACUUCAGGAAACUGGGGCUAAUGCCGGAUAGGAGCUCCUGCUGCAUGGUGGGGGUUGGAAAGUUUCGGCGGUUGGGGAUGGACUCGCGGCUUAUCAGCUUGUUGGUGGGGUAGUGGCUUACCAAGGCUUUGACGGGUAGCCGGCCUGAGAGGGUGACCGGCCACAUUGGGACUGAGAUACGGCCCAGACUCCUACGGGAGGCAGCAGUGGGGAAUAUUGCACAAUGGGCGGAAGCCUGAUGCAGCAACGCCGCGUGCGGGAUGACGGCCUUCGGGUUGUAAACCGCUUUCGCCUGUGACGAAGCGUGAGUGACGGUAAUGGGUAAAGAAGCACCGGCUAACUACGUG